rnacentral:rRNA from 1 species
AGUGAACGCUGGCGGCAGGCCUAAUACAUGCAAGUCGAACGGCAGCACAGCAGAGCUUGCUCUGUGGGUGGCGAGUGGCGGACGGGUGAGGAAUACAUGGGAAUCUGCCCAGUCGUGGGGGAUAACGUAUGGAAACGUACGCUAAUACCGCAUGCGCCCUACGGGGGAAAGCCGGGGACCGAAAGGCCUGGCGCGAUUGGAUGAGCCCAUGUUCGAUUAGCUAGUUGGCGGGGUAAAGGCCCACCAAGGCGACGAUCGAUAGCUGGUCUGAGAGGAUGAUCAGCCACACUGGAACUGAGACACGGUCCAGACUCCUACGGGAGGCAGCAGUAGGGAAUAUUGGACAAUGGGGGCAACCCUGAUCCAGCCAUGCCGCGUGAGUGAAGAAGGCCCUCGGGUUGUAAAGCUCUUUUGUCCGGAAAGAAAAGCAUUCGGUUAAUACCCGGGUGUUCUGACGGUACCGGAAGAAUAAGCA